rnacentral:rRNA from 1 species
UACGGGGGGGGCAAGCGUUGUUCGGAAUUACUGGGUGUAAAGGGUUCGUAGGCGGUGUGGCAAGUCGGGAGUGAAAUCUCUGGGCUCAACCCAGGGGCUGCUUCCGAAACUGCCGUGCUAGAGUGUGGGAGAGGCGCGUGGAAUUGCAGGUGUAGCGGUGAAAUGCGUAGAUAUCUGCAGGAACACCCGUGGCGAAAGCGGCGCCGCUGGACCACUACUGACGCUGAGGAACGAAAGCUAGGGGAGCAAACAGG